AUCCAGCUGACGAGUCCCAAAUAGGACGAAACGCACGGCUUGGAU
rfam:Schistosoma haematobium scaffold795_2, whole genome shotgun sequence.